GAGAGAGAGAGAGAGAGAGAGAGAGAGGAGAGAGCGACGAGUACGAGAGAGAAGAUUUCAAGUCUGAAAGCGAAUCGAAGAUGCAUAUGAGAGAGAGAGAGAGAGAGAGAAUUGAUUGGACAAGGAAAUUGUAAUUCUGUGAGAAAAAUCACAAGAAGAGAAUAUACGCAAAAAAUUACGUGACGAAAGAAGAAGAAAUAGCUAAAUUAUCAAUUAAAAUAAAUGGAUCAAUAAUUGAAAUAUUCGCUAACGAUGAAAAAUCUUUUUAUUCCAACAACGAAGAAAACGAGAAACGCAACGAUCGAUACAAAUAUCUUACGAACGGGAGACUGUUUCUUCGUAUCCGGUUUACAGCGCGCGAAAAACAAACACGAGAAUAAUCGUAUCGACGUCGCGACGAGGUAUCUGGAAAAUUUACGAACGACCGUACGUACGAGGACCACGCCAUACCGAUUUCACGCUAUUUAUACUCGAAGAAUCGAAUGCAGGAUCGUGCGAAGGGAAGAAUUAAAGAUCGGUUUGCCAGACCGUGAGAUCGCGCACGGAUUCGGAUCACUGACUAUUUACGAGCAGAGGUUCUCGGUAUUCACGGCAGGAUAAGUUUCCUUGGAAUUGGAAUUGCGUCGGAUGGAGAAAAUAAAGGAACGUGGAGAUAGCGAUGGACGCGAUACAGCCAUCCUUUCGCGUUUUUCAAACAAUUCUGUACUCGAUAUUUGUUCGAACGAUGAAUUUAUACUUGUGAUAUGGUUAUCAAGAUAUUACGAUGCAGUAAAAUUGUGCAGUGGCAGAAAUCGGUAAUAUUCGAUUAGAUGUUGUUUGUUCGACGAUUCGUUGGCGGCGCAUACCCAUCACUACCUUCGCGGCUCGGCAAAACAUUUUUCGUUAAUAACUCGUUAAGAAGGGAAAAACGAAACUUUUCACGAAGGAAAAAGUUGGUUGAAAUCGUCUCAGGAAUCAUCAGUUAAGUCUUGAAGAUUUUAUAUAAAUCGAAAAGUAUGAUAAUCUUCAAAAUAGUGAUAGAAAUGUACUGCAAAUGUAUAAAUAUCAAUUUCUUUAGAGAGAUAUAUCGUUUACGAUUCUUGAUUCCUUUUGCUGGCCAGAAAAUCAUCAAUUAUAUAUCGAUAUAGCAUCCAUACAAUGGAAACAAAUAAUUUUUCGAUUUCUUUUGAUUCUUUUAUUGGUUAAAAAUCGUGGGAUAUUGCUUGAAAAACCAUCACCACUGUACAAAUUCCUUUUUUCUUGCGAUUCCAGUGUAGCGAUCGGUUUUCUUUAGCGCUUAUAACAACGUCUGCUCGAUACCUCGAAAGCUGGCGUGGAAAGGAAAAUGGACACGAGCCACCAUCCUCGAUAUUCCUCGAUAUUCUUCGAGGGUAAACCCGAUUUUAAAACGGCCAGAGAAACGUCACGUGGACGAGAAAAUCGUAUUAUCGCCGAUACAUUCUUGCUGGAAAUCGAACCUUUUAUACAGACACCUUGUACACAUCGAUUCCAUGAUAAACGGUUUCAAAAGUCUUUUGAAUGUUUUAUAUUUUAGUUUUGAAACAGGGAUCGAGCGAAAAAUUGUUGACACAUUUUUAUUUGAUCGUUAUUGUUUAUAAUGAAAUUUUUAUAAAGAGGAUUAAAGAAAUGGAUAUUACUUGUCCUAUUGGU